rnacentral:rRNA from 1 species
UACAGAGGUCUCAAGCGUUGUUCGGAUUCAUUGGGCGUAAAGGGUGCGUAGGUGGCGGGGCAAGUCUGGCGUGAAAGCCCAAGGCUCAGCCUUGGAAGUGCGCUCGAAACGGCGAGGCUGGAGUGCCGGAGGGGAGAGUGGAAUUCCCGGUGUAGCGGUGAAAUGCGUAGAGAUCGGGAGGAAUACCGGUGGCGAAAGCGACUCUCUGGACGGCAACUGACGCUGAGGCACGAAAGCGUGGGGAGCAAACAGG